UUCAUACUCCCUUCGUUCGGAAAUACUUGUCGGAGAAAUGGAUGUAUUUAAACAUAUUUUAGUUCUAGAUACAUCUAUUUUUAUUCAUUUCUUUGACAAGUAUUUCCGGACAGAGGGAGUAUUAU
rfam:Triticum aestivum genome assembly, contig: Triticum_aestivum_CS42_TGACv1_scaffold_320338_4BL